rnacentral:lncRNA from 1 species
AGAUGAUCUUCUGAGCUUUCAAUUUAAUUGCUGUCACUGAAUUGAUAAGAUUAAUUAAGAAAACUAAUUCUGAAUUUCUACCUUCCCUGUCAGAACAGAUUUCUGGUCAAGUCAUAAAAGAUCCAGUCCAUGCUAGGGAUAUUAGUGGUACUAGAAAAGCAUCUUUGAAAACUAUUACUUUCCAAGUAUGUUGUAACUCUAGAAAAGUAUGUAAAACUUUGGAUUGAAAGGCAAUCUUGGGCAAAAUGUUACAUUUUAUUCUGACUCUAUUUUUCUACUGACACUAUUUUUGGUACAAAGAGUUCUUUCUAUUGCAGAAAAUAUAUUUCAGACCCUUUGUCCUUGCCAGACAGCAGUAGAGCAAACAGCUCCCCACCACCACUUUUUUUUUUCUUUUUUUUUUUUUUAACUUAACAAACUAGGAACAUACAGCAGGGAGAUGAGUAAGCAGGCAACAAAGGAAGGUUUCCGAUUAACAAGCAGAAUGAAACCAGCACCCCCACAUCAGAGUAAAAAAGUUCCAUGUUAAAAUUCAACUUAUCUAAAGCUCAAUGUGUUUAAGGAAUGAUGUUCUUCUCCAGGCCAGUUCUCCCUAUGCACUUCUCUUGUUUUCCUUCCACCUGACCAAGCAGCAGCCAGAAAAGCAGGACUUUCAUUACAUGCCAAGAAUAGGGCUCCAUGAACCUCCAUCUUGUCCACCAGUGUCCUGUGAAAGACACCAUGAUGCUGUGGUCGUAACCACCAAUACUAAAAGAAAAUGGAUUGAGAAGGAAAGCAAUUCACAGCAGGAUUCCAGGCACUCCAGGUACCACUCAGCACAUGCCAUGUGAUUUUACAGAGUGGUAGAACUACAGUCUCAGUUCCACAGGCUGGAAAAUAAGAUGGAGAGAGAUUAAACAAUUUCCCCCAGACUGCACUGAAAAUCUGCUUUGAGGAGGUUCAGUUCUCCAGAGCAACAAUCCAAUGCCUUACUCCUGAAUUUUUGAAAAUACAAGAGCAAGUAUUAAAGCUGAAA